rnacentral:rRNA from 1 species
UACGAAGGGGGCUAGCGUUGCUCGGAAUUACUGGGCGUAAAGCGUGCGCAGGCGGCUUUCCAAGUCAGUGGUGAAAGCCCGGAGCUCAACUCCGGAAAUGCCAUUGAAACUGUGAAGCUUGAGAACGAGAGAGGUGAGUGGAAUUCCCAGUGUAGAGGUGAAAUUCGUAGAUAUUGGGAAGAACACCAGUGGCGAAGGCGGCUCACUGGCUCGUAACUGACGCUCAUGCACGACAGCGUGGGGAUCAAACAGG